rnacentral:tRNA from 1 species
GAAAAUGUUGGAUACAUCCAACCUCUGCUA